AGUGAAGCGACAAAAGCUCAAAUUUGAAAUCUGGCACCUUCGGUGUCCGAGUUGUAAUUUGAAGAAGGUAACUUUGGAGUUGGCUCUUGUCUAUGUUCCUUGGAACAGGACGUCACAGAGGGUGAGAAUCCCGUGCGAUGAGAUGUCCAACUCUAUGUAAAGUGCUUUCGAAGAGUCGAGUUGUUUGGGAAUGCAGCUCUAAGUGGGUGGUAAAUUCCAUCUAAAGCUAAAUAUUGGCGAGAGACCGAUAGCGAACAAGUACAGUGAUGGAAAGAUGAAAAGAACUUUGAAAAGAGAGUGAAAAAGUACGUGAAAUUGUUGAAAGGGAAGGGUUUGAGAUCAGACUUGGUAUUUUGUAUGUCUUGCUUUCGGGUGGGGCCUCUGCAGUUUACUGGGCCAGCAUCGGUUUGGACGGUAGGAUAAUGACAUUGGAAUGUGGCACUACUUCGGUGGUGUGUUAUAGACUUUGUUGAUACUGCCUGUCUAGACCGAGGACUGCGUCUUUGACUAGGAUGCUGGCAUAAUGAUCCUAAACCG
rnacentral:rRNA from 1 species